rnacentral:misc_RNA from 1 species
UCCGGUUUAACACCGGCAGUCUCCAUAGAGUGCCCAACUGAAUGGUGGUAACUAGCGACGAGGGUUGCGCUCGUUGCGGGACUUAACCCAACACCUCACGGCACGAGCUGACGACAGCCAUGCAGCACCUGUAUACGCUCCCUUGCGGGUCGGUCACCUUUCGGAUCCCUACCACGUAUAUGUCAAACCCAGGUAAGGUUCUUCGCGUUGCAUCGAAUUAAUCCACAUGCUCCGCCGCUUGUGCGGGCCCCCGUCAAUUUCUUUGAGUUUUAGCCUUGCGGCCGUACUCCCCAGGCGGGGUACUUAAUGCGUUAGCUACGGCACGGAUCCCAAGGAAGGAAACCCACACCUAGUACCCACCGUUUACGGCGUGGACUAC